rnacentral:rRNA from 1 species
UACGUAGGGUGCAGGCGUUGUCCGGAAUUAUUGGGCGUAAAGAGCUCGUAGGCGGCUUGUCGCGUCUGCUGUGAAAACUCGGGGCUUAACCCCGGGCCUGCAGUGGGUACGGGCAGACUAGAGUGCGGUAGGGGAGACUGGAAUUCCUGGUGUAGCGGUGAAAUGCGCAGAUAUCAGGAGGAACACCGGUGGCGAAGGCGGGUCUCUGGGCCGUAACUGACGCUGAGGAGCGAAAGCGUGGGGAGUGAACAGG